UGGUUGGUGGGAAGGGGGUCCCGGAGGAACAGACCUCGUCUCCUGCCCUGUGCCACCUCUUACCUGGCAACAGGCCCUGGUGCAGACUCGCUUCAAGCCUGGACUGCUCUGCCUGUGCCCCCGCUCUGGGACCACCUGUCAUGAUCCCCAAAGCCCAGCAGAGAGCAUAUCUGUGCCCACUGCACAGAUGGGAAGCUGAAAGUCCAGCAGCACGUGCGGACUCAGCCAAGUCCAAAACCAGCCCCCGUGUCUUCCCGCUGAGCCUCAGGACCAGUGACCCAGCCGGGCAAGUGGUCAUUGCCUGCCUGGUGCAAGGGUUCUUCCCGCCGGAGCCCGUGAGAGUGACUUGGAGCCCCAGCAAGGAAGGCGCGUCCAUCCGGAACUUCCCCGUAGUGAAGUCUGCUUCCGGGAACCUGUACACCACGAGCAGCCAGCUGACCCUGCCGGCUAGCCAGUGCCCCGAUGGCACGUCCCUGCAAUGCCAAGUGGAGCACUAUUCCAGCACCAGCCCGGCCGUGUCUGUGCCCUGCAGAGCUGACCCCCCUCCUCCUUGUUCCCCGUGCAAUGAACCCCGCCUGUCACUACACAAGCCCGCCCUUGAGGACCUGCUUCUGGGCUCCAAUGCCAGCAUCACGUGCACACUGAGCGGCCUGAAAAACCCCGAGGGUGCCCUGUUCUCCUGGACACCCUCAGGGAAGAAGGAGGCCAUCCAGAAGCCCCCAGAGCGUGACUCCUGCGGCUGCUACAGUGUGUCCAGUGUCCUUCCAGGCUGCGCUGAGCCAUGGAACCGCGGGGAGAACUUCUCCUGCACCGCCAGCCAUCCUGAGCUCAAGACGCCAAAAACUGACACCAUCUCCAAAGUCCUAGAGAACACUUUCCGGCCCCAGGUCCACCUGCUGCCGCCGCCGUCGGAAGAGCUGGCCCUCAAUGAGCUGGUGUCGCUGACGUGCCUCGUGCGAGGCUUCAGCCCCAAGGACGUGCUGGUACGGUGGCUGCAAGGAUCCCAGGAGCUGUCCCGGGAGAAGUACCUGACCUGGGGCCCCCUGCAGGAGCCCGACCAGAGCGUCCCCACCUUCGCCACGACCAGCGUGCUGCGAGUGUCGGCCGAGGACUGGAAGCAGGGGGAGAAGUUCUCCUGCAUGGUGGGUCACGAGGCCCUGCCCCUGGCCUUCACCCAGAAGACCAUCGACCGCCUGGCGGGUAAACCCACCCACGUCAACGUGUCUGUGGUCAUGUCGGAUGUGGAAGGCGUCUGCUACUGAACUGCCCACCUGCCCCUCCCUGAAUAAACUCCGUACUGGCCCAAAGCA